rnacentral:snoRNA from 1 species
GAAAACUUUUAGGUUUGUCUUUUUUCUUUAUGUCAAGAAAGAAGAUAUUCCUGAUGUGCUAAACUAGCCUUCGGAGGUAAAUUAGCAGCAGGAUUUAUUAGCUAUUUUGACAGUCAUCUCCAGACAAUU